UUUUCCUAUCUUCAAAGAGUCACAAAGACUAAAAUUCUAUCUCUCCACAGUAGACUCUCUCCAGUCAUGGACAUUUGAGCCUAAGGCAUCAGUGGGACCUGAAUACAGCAUGCAAGACAUUGCCACCUCCUCAAUACAUAUGAAACCAGCAGCAGGCAAGAAUUGCAACCUUGGCUGAACUACAAGAAGGCUCAAGAAAUCCAUACUGCAGCACGUUCCAAGAUGAAAUUCCAAAACAGAAUGAAAUAUUUCCUGGUGCAAAAGACCCUCAGUGGACCAAGAAAUUUGCUUGGAACCAAAGAAACCAGGAUAUGA
rnacentral:lncRNA from 1 species